UCUUACGCCUAACUGGUUCUCUCGCCUGGCCGAGAGAAAUGUUAUUUUUAUCACCAGGGUCUUCAGAUCUCGGCGGUGGGGGAGGUACAGGUACACGAUGAGUGUGUCCUCCCUCAUACUCUUGGUGUCCACGAUCACGCAAGUGUACCUGGACAGGCAAGGUAUGGGGGAUAUCGGCGACACCUCGACUUACCUGGAUUUCUACUGGCUCCUGUACGACGUACUUAAUGAGGUCAAAGAGUUUGCGGACUCGAAUUGCUAUUACCCCACCUAUUGGCCCGCCGCGUUGCUCGCCCCCGACCACUGCAAUCCCUACCGCCUGGUGGAGGAGACCCGCCGUGCCUUGGAAAACAGAGGUGGUGAAAUUCAGACAGAAUUUAGGUCAUUUACUAAAUCUGGGGAUUUGGUGUUGAGGAUAAAAAAUAUCGUGCUUGAGAGACCCUAAGAAAUGACCUCUUUGUUAGUGUCUUCCUAACAUUAUUUUUUAUCUGCGGCAACUAAGUCUCCUGGAAAGUGACGCCUGAAUUGUGUUUAAACUUCCUGCCUCGGGAUUUCCAAGGCUUGCGUGCGGUGUUGCUUCCACCAGGCGGAUGGGAUGAUGGGAUCCAAACCCGUUGCUGACUCCACAGAGUGGAAGGAACUGCCUGCACCUCCUUUGUUUCUGCGGUAACGUGCGGGGAGGAAAUUUAAGCCAUUGCUGCCAUCCGGGGUUGUGAGGACUGACCUGAAGGACCUUCC